AGUGAACGCUGGCGGUAGGCCUAACACGUGCAAGUCGAACGGCAGCACAGUAAGAGCUUGCUCUUACGGGUGGCGAGUGGCGGACGGGUGAGGAAUACAUCGGAAUCUACUUUUUCGUGGGGGAUAACGUAGGGAAACUUACGCUAAUACCGCAUACGACCUACGGGUGAAAGCAGGGGAUCUUCGGACCUUGCGCGAUUGAAUGAGCCGAUGUCGGAUUAGCUAGUUGGCGGGGUAAAGGCCCACCAAGGCGACGAUCCGUAGCUGGUCUGAGAGGAUGGUCAGCCACACUGGAACUGAGACACGGUCCAGACUCCUACGGGAGGCAGCAGUGGGGAAUAUUGGACAAUGGGCGCAAGCCUGAUCCAGCCAUACCGCGUGGGUGAAGAAGGCCUUCGGGUUGUAAAGCCCUUUUGUUGGGAAAGAAAAGCAGCAGGUUAAUACCCCGCUGUUCUGACGGUACCCAAAGAAUAAGCACCGGCUAACUUCGUG
rnacentral:rRNA from 1 species